rnacentral:lncRNA from 1 species
GGGAAAGGGAGCCAGGGAGUCCUGUAAGUACUCAGGAUCCUGACAUGAGCUUUAAGUAGAGGGCAAGAGAUAGACACCACUGAGUAGUCCUGAUCAAAGUGUGGUGCCAGCCAUCAUUGUCUGUCUCUGCCCCAAUCUGUCCUGCAAGGUGGUCCGAGAGCUGUUGAAACUGUGGGAAUCUGAGAGACGAGCUCCUCUUCAUGCUGGCGCCAGACUUCAGCCCUUUCCUUCCCACAGCAUGAGAGGCUCCUGGAGAAAUUCCAAAAGUCUUGGGGUCCAUUGUCUCAAGAUUCUGAUAGUCAAAGGGGAGGGGCACUUUGUGUCUUUUUAGUUAGAAUAUUACCACAAUAAGCCACAAGAUGAAGCAGUUGCCCUUUCCCUGACCAUAGAAAGGACUCCCAUGUGCAGAAUAUUGUCUUUCAUCUAUAGUGGCCAUUGAGAAUACCACGCCUUAGAAGCCAGAGAUUGACUGAGUCUUCAAGGUGUAUAGGUGCUUUGCCUGAAUGUACAUCUGUGUACCUCUGUGUACCAGGUAUGUGCAGGGGCUGUGAAGGCAAGAAGAAGACAUUGGAACCCCUGGACUGGAACUAUAGACCAUCGUGAGCCACUGUGAGAAUUGAGCUAUCUUCUGGAAGAGCAAUCAGCACACUCAACUGCUGAGCCAUCUCUUCAGCCCUGACAGAAUUCUUAAACCCGAUAAACACUUUUAACGAAGUACCAAGGUAUAAACUCAACACACGAAAAUCAGUGGCUUCCUUAUCUGCCAGUCACAAACUAAGAAAGAAAUCUGAGGUGAAAAAUCACAUAACUAUGUACCUCAUAGCCCUAGGAGCAAUCCAAACCCAGGACCUUCAAAAGAAAAAAAUAUCUAGAAAAAUCUAACUGAGGAGGUGAAAGACCUCUACAGUAAAGCCUUUAAGACACUGAAG